ACGCUCGACACCUACGGGAGGCAGCAGUAGGGAAUCUUCCACAAUGGGCGCAAGCCUGAUGGAGCAACACCGCGUGAGUGAAGAAGGGUUUCGGCUCGUAAAGCUCUGUUGUUGGAGAAGAACGUGCGUGAGAGUAACUGUUCACGCAGUGACGGUAUCCAACCAGAAAGUCACGGCUAACUACGUGCCAUCAGCCGCGGUAAUCUGAGCGGGCUGGCAAGGC
rnacentral:rRNA from 1 species